GCAUGCGUAGCACAAUUGGUAGAGCAACUGAUUUGUAAUCAGUAGGUUGCGGGUUCAAGUCCCAUCGCCGGCUCCA
rnacentral:tRNA from 2 species